rnacentral:rRNA from 1 species
CAGCCGUAAACUAUGCGCGUUAGGUGUAUCGGUGACCACGAGUUACCGAGGUGCCGAAGGGAAACCGUGAAACGUGCCGCCUGGGAAGUACGGUCGCAAGGCUGAAACUUAAAGGAAUUGGCGGGGAAGCACCACAACAGGUGGAGCCUGCGGUUUAAUUGGACUCAACGCCGGGAAGCUCACCGGAUAGGACAGCAGAAUGAUUGCCGGGCUGAAGACCCUGCAUGACUAGCUGAGAGGAGGUGCAUGGCGUCAGUGACU